UACGGAGGAUCCAAGCGUUAUCCGGAUUUAUUGGGCGUAAAGAGCGUGUAGGCGGCCUGAAAGGUCAGCUGUGAAAACUCGAGGCUCAACCUCGAGACGUCGGUUGAAACCAUCUGGCUAGAGUCCGGAAGAGGAGUGUGGAAUUCCCGGUGUAGCGGUGAAAUGCGCAGAUAUCGGGAAGAACACCCGUGGCGAAGGCGGCACUCUGGGACGGUACUGACGCUGAGACGCGAAAGCGUGGGGAGCGAACAGG
rnacentral:rRNA from 1 species